rnacentral:rRNA from 1 species
AAAAAUCCAUGAUCCUAUGCUGCCGAGAAAAGCCUCUAGCGAGCUGGUACAUGGCCCGUACCCCAAACCGACACAGGUGGUCAGGUAGAGAAUACUAAGGCGAUCGAGAGAACUGUGGUUAAGGAACUCGGCAAAAUGCCCCCGUAACUUCGGGAGAAGGGGGACCAGUCCUGGUGACGACAUUUACUGUCUGAGCUGGGGUUGGUCGCAGAGACCAGAGAGAAGCGACUGUUUACUAAAAACACAGGUCCGUGCGAAGUCGUAAGACGAUGUAUACGGACUGACGCCUCCCCGGUGCUGGAAGGUUAAGAGGACCGGUCAGCCACUUCGGUGGCGAAGCUGAGAAUUUAAGCCCCAGUAAACGGCGGUGGUAACUAUAACCAUCCUAAGGUAGCGAAAUUCCUUGUCGGGUAAGUUCCGACCUGCACGAAUGGCGUAACGACUUCUCUGCUGUCUCAACCACAGACUCGGCGAAAUUGCAGUACGAGUAAAGAUGCUCGUUACGCGCGGCAGGACGAAAAGACCCCGGGACCUUCACUAUAGCUUGGUAUUGGUGUUCGGUUCGGUUUGUGUAGGAUAGGUGGGAGACUGUGAAACUCGCACGCCAGUGUGGGUGGAGUCAUUGUUGAAAUACCACUCUGACCGUAUUGGACAUCUAACCUCGGACCAUGAUCUGGUUCAGGGACAGUGCCUGGUGGGUAGUUUAACUGGGGCGGUUGCCUCCCAAAAAGUAACGGAGGCGCCCAAAGGUUCCCUCAGCCUGGUUGGCAAUCAGGUGUUGAGUGUAAGUGCACAAGGGAGCUUGACUGUGAGACGUACAUGUCGAGCAGGGACGAAAGUCGGGACUAGUGAUCCGGCACCGGCAAGUGGAAGCGGUGUCGCUCAACGGAUAAAAGGUACCCCGGGGAUAACAGGCUGAUCUUCCCCAAGAGUCCAUAUCGACGGGAUGGUUUGGCACCUCGAUGUCGGCUCGUCGCAUCCUGGGGCUGGAGUAGGUCCCAAGGGUUGGGCUGUUCGCCCAUUAAAGCGGCACGCGAGCUGGGUUUAGAACGUCGUGAGACAGUUCGGUCUCUAUCCGCCGCGCGCGUAAGAAACUUGAGGAAACCUGUCCCUAGUACGAGAGGACCGGGACGGACGAACCUCUGGUGUGCCAGUUGUUCCACCAGGAGCACCGCUGGUUAGCUACGUUCGGAAGGGAUAACCGCUGAAAGCAUCUAAGCGGGAAGCCUGUUCCAAGAUGAGGUUUCUCACCACCUAGCGUGGUUAAGGCCCCCCACAGACCAUGGGGUUGAUAGGCCAGAACUGUAAGCACAGCAAUGUGUUCAGGUGACUGGUACUAAUCGGCCGAGGACUUACC